GGGCAACUGCGCAAUAACAAGAGCCUUGUUUUCUUUUGUGUUCCAAACUUGCAAAACAAUGCAACAAUGAUUGAGAAUAUCGUUGCUGCAGUUUGCACUGUUUAUGGCAUUGGUUAUUCCACCUAUUACCUGACUAACCUGGCACGUCAUCUGAGAUGUGUGUUCACAAAUGCGAAAUCUGAGAGCCCAGAAGCAAGAGCAAAGUGUCCACUGACUCCCUUAGCUCUUGGAGUAGAGGACAAAGAGGAGGAAGAUGAAGUCAAUCUU